rnacentral:siRNA from 1 species
GUGGAAGCAACUGAAACUAGAAUA